AUGAAACUUCAUCAGAUUUUGGGGAGCAGGAACUCCUCUAUAGUGCAGGUCAAGUGAGACGUAACAGGCUUGCCACUGUAACAGACUUGGCAGGGAUGCAAAGAAUGGCAAUAAAUGCAAAGUCUCCUAACAUCUAGGAAACAGAGCAACAGUUCAGAGGAAGAGGACGGCUGCUCUAAAUUCUGCUGAACAUAUCUGCAAAAUCUUUCUAAGGAGCUGGUUAACAUCUGGGACACAGAACUCUUCCUACUGUGGCUCCAUUCCCAAACUCAGCACUGGUGAAUCUGGUUGGAGGAAAUAACUGCAUUUCACCAUGCCAUGUAGCCAGCACAAAGGAAGCAGGACAGACUUCACUCAUGACUUAGGAAUUUUUAGUGUAGAAACAGGUUCCUUGAAAACUGAG